rnacentral:rRNA from 1 species
CGUUUAGUGGCGAACGGGUGAGUAAUACAUAGGUAACCUACCCUUAAGACGAGUAUAGCCAUUGGAAACGAUGGAUAAAACUGGAUAGGAUAUAGAGGAAGAAUCUUUUAUAUUUAAAAGAGAGAUCUGCUUAAGGAGGGGCCUGUGGCGCAUUAGCUAGUUGGUGGGGUAAGGGCCUACCAAGGCGAUGAUGCGUAGCCGGACUGAGAGGUUGAACGGCCACAGUGGAACUGAGAACGGUCCAUACUCCUACGGAAGGCAGCAG